rnacentral:rRNA from 1 species
AUUGAACGCUGGCGGCAUGCCUUACACAUGUAAGUCGAACGGUAACAGGUCUUCGGAUGCUGACGAGUGGCGAACGGGUGAGUAAUACAUCGGAACGUGCCCGAUCGUGGGGGAUAACGAAGCGAAAGCUUUGCUAAUACCGCAUAAGAUCUAAGGAUGAAAGCAGGGGACCGCAAAGCCUUGCGCGAACGGAGCGGCCGAUGGCAGAUUAGGUAGUUGGUGGGAUAAAAGCUUACCAAGCCGACGAUCUGUAGCUGGUCUGAGAGGACGACCAGCCACACUGGGACUGAGACACGGCCCAGACUCCUACGGGAGGCAGCAGUGGGGAAUUUUGGACAAUGGGCGAAAGCCUGAUCCAGCCAUGCCGCGUGCAGGAUGAAGGCCUUCGGGUUGUAAACUGCUUUCGUACGGAACGAAAAGACUCUGGUUAAUACCUGGGGUCCAUGACGGUACCGUAAGAAUAAGCACCGGCUAACUACGUGCCAGCAGCCGCGGUAAAAC